rnacentral:tRNA from 1 species
GCCGGGGUGGUGGAAUGGCAGACACGCUGGACUUAAAAUCCAGUUCCCCAAAGGAGUGAGGGUUCGACUCCCUCUCCCGGCA